UGAGCAACCUGCCCCUGACUCUGGGAUAACCCCGGGAAACCGGAGCUAAUACCGGAUACUCCGGCUGGAUCGCAUGGUCCGGCCGGGAAAGGUCCGCCGGAGAGGGAUGGGCCCGCGGCCUAUCAGCUUGUUGGUGGGGUCAUGGCUCACCAAGGCGACGACGGGUAGCUGGUCUGAGAGGACGACCAGCCACACUGGAACUGAGAUACGGUCCAGACUCCGUACGGGAGGCA
rnacentral:rRNA from 1 species